rnacentral:rRNA from 1 species
CACAGGUGCUGCAUGGCUGUCGUCAGCUCGUGUCGUGAGAUGUUGGGUUAAGUCCCGCAACGAGCGCAACCCUUGUCAUUAGUUGCUACAUUCAGUUGGGCACUCUAAUGAGACUGCCGGUGACAAGCCGGAGGAAGUGGGGAUGACGUCAAGUCCUCAUGGCCCUUAUAGGUGGGGCUACACACGUCAUACAAUGGCUGGUACAAAGGGUUGCCAACCCGCGAGGGGGAGCUAAUCCCAUAAAGCCAGUCGUAGUCCGGAUCGUAGUCUGCAACUCGACUACGUGAAGUCGGAAUCGCUAGUAAUCGUGGAUCAGAAUGUCACGGUGAAUACGUUCCCGGGUCUUGU